UGGGUUCACAAAUAAUGAAAAAAAGUUAUAUCUUGCGAGCAGAUGAAAUGUAAUUGAAGUUCAUUGACGGCGCGGAUUUUUUGGUUAAACAUAAGCAACGUUACGAUUAUAUUGCAAUUAUGAGCAAUUGAGUCAUGGAUGCGCGUUACCUCAGAAAUUCGCUUUUUGAGAGUAAUACUGUGGCGUGCUUUGUGGAAGAAACGCAGUGAUAUUAAUCAUUCCUAAUUUUUGAGAAACAACAAGUUAAUAGAAAGAACACAACUUUUGGUCGAAGAACUCAAUAACCGACAUUGAAAGUAUUAAAAGCGCCAUUUCUUGCUAGAAUUCUGAUACAUACAUAUGUAUGUAUGUAGUUUUAAAAUUGACGCAUGAAAUGCGAAUUGCAAAUGCUUAUAAAUUUCCUGUGAUGUUAAACUAGAAAAGAGUGCUGACAAGCCCCAGACGGAUUUACAUGCAAAAAGCAUGCGUGAACUGUUAUAAAAAGACUCCAUACAACAACUGUGAUCGGUCAGUUUGUAAGGCAGCUAUGUAUAUGCUAUAGUGAUACGAUCAAUCCGAACAAUUUCUUCAGAGGACGACAUCAAUGGCACACCCAAUAAACCAUGCCAAAUUGUUAUUGUUAUCGUGAAGAUAUCUCGUGAAAUCGGAAAUUUUUCCAUACAAAGACUUGAUUCCGAUCGUACAGUUUGUAUAGCAACUAUAUGCUAAAGUGGUCCGAUAUUUGCCAUUCCGAGAAAUGUAUAGCUUCCUGGUGGGAAAAGGACGGAGCCAAAGUUUCAGAUUGAUAUCUCAAAAAACGAGUGUUUAGUUCGCGUAUAUAUAGACUGACCGACAGACUGACACAAUUAAAUCCAAUUAGCUCUUAUACAUACAUAUGCACAUAUCUAUUUGUUCUGGUUUGCAGCAAAAAAAAUCCUUUUUCAUCAGGACAAAGCAUCGUGUCACAAAGCAUUUUUACAAAGGCUAAAUUCCAUGAAUGAAAGUUCGAAUUGUUGGAACAUCAUUUGGCCCCUAGCGACUUCCAUUUGUCUCCAGAACUCAAAAAAAUUAUGCGUGGCGUUUUUAAUCAAAUGAAGCGUGCAAACUUUCGGAUUCUCACUUCAGGGAUGGGAUCCACAGAUUGGAGGAUCGUUGGAGCAAGUGUAUUAAUGUUAAGGGAGAUUAUACUGAGUAAUAAAGUGUAUUUUGAAUCAUAAAA